AUUAGAGUUUGAUCCUGGCUCAGAUUGAACGCUGGCGGCAUGCCUUACACAUGCAAGUCGAACGGCAGCAUGAUCUAGCUUGCUAGAUUGAUGGCGAGUGGCGAACGGGUGAGUAAUACAUCGGAACGUGCCCUGUAGUGGGGGAUAACUAGUCGAAAGAUUAGCUAAUACCGCAUACGACCUGAGGGUGAAAGUGGGGGACCGCAAGGCCUCAUGCUAUAGGAGCGGCCGAUGUCUGAUUAGCUAGUUGGUGGGGUAAAGGCCCACCAAGGCGACGAUCAGUAGCUGGUCUGAGAGGACGAUCAGCCACACUGGGACUGAGACACGGCCCAGACUCCUACGGGAGGCAGCAGUGGGGAAUUUUGGACAAUGGGCGAAAGCCUGAUCCAGCAAUGCCGCGUGUGUGAAGAAGGCCUUCGGGUUGUAAAGCACUUUUGUCCGGAAAGAAAUGGCUCUGGUUAAUACCUGGGGUCGAUGACGGUACCGGAAGAAUAAGGACCGGCUAACUACGUGCCAGCAGCCGCGGUAAUACG
rnacentral:rRNA from 1 species